rnacentral:rRNA from 1 species
UACGGAGGGGGCUAGCGUUGUCCGGAUUUAUUGGGCGUAAAGAGCGUGUAGGCGGUUUGGUAGGUCCGCUGUGAAAACUCGAGGCUCAACCUCGAGACGCCGGUGGAAACCAUCAGACUAGAGUCCGGAAGAGGAGAGUGGAAUUCCUGGUGUAGCGGUGAAAUGCGCAGAUAUCAGGAAGAACACCCGUGGCUAAGGCGGCUCUCUAGUACGGUACUGACGCUGAGACGCGAAAGCGUGGGGAGCGAACAGG